rnacentral:snRNA from 10 species
GAAUGUGAGAGCAAUGUUGCAACAUUUUCACUCCACAGCAUGACCGGAUGGCAGUUUGGUCUGACUGGCUGCGUGGGUAUUCCCUUUCUCCCUCACUAUUCAAUAUACAAUUGACUAAGGGGCUGACCUUUCCAUAUGGUAAAGAUUGCUAUUUGGUUAUGGAAAUGCAAGUUGCUGUCCUCUUGUGCUGGAAUUUUUAAACAAGCUUCUAGAGAACAUAAAGGGCAUCUUAAAUGCCCUACAAUUACAGCAUAUGUAAUUUUCACCACUGAGAUAUU